UACGGGGGGGGCAAGCGUUGUUCGGAAUUACUGGGCGUAAAGGGCGCGUAGGCGGCUUUUCAAGUCGGGCGUGAAAUCUCCGGGCUUAACCCGGAAGGGUCGUUCGAUACUGUUGAGCUAGAGUGUGGAAGAGGCAACUAGAAUUCCGUGUGUAGCGGUGAAAUGCGUAGAUAUCUGGAGGAACACCGGUGGCGAAGGCGGCAUCCUGGACCGGCAUUGACGCUGAGACGCGAAAGCGUGGGGAGCAAACAGG
rnacentral:rRNA from 1 species